rnacentral:lncRNA from 1 species
UGUGUACCUGAGGUUUUCUGUGCAGCUUGCUGUUUACGGGUCUUGGGCUAGCGUUUUCGUCAAAGAGCCCGAGAGCUAGGCAGCCAAGGGGAAGACCCCAACCUUCAAAGAAGAGCUGGGAGGCACAAAACUGAGCUGCUUGUCUUUCCAUCAUCUAGUCAAUAAGUGUACUUUUAUUGAGCAUCUACGAGUGACAGACGUUGUCCUGGGGCGUAGAACACAGCAGUGACAAUAGACGGUAGAAGAUCCUUGAUGCUCCUGAAAGAUACAGACCAGAAGACAAUUUAAAACCCUCAAAUAGAGGGGGGAAAAGUAUGGAAGAAAAGAGGUCAUCCAUCCAUCCUCCAUCCCCACCAGAGGCC